UUAUGGUUUUAGGUCUUAUGUUUAAGUCUUUAAUCCAUCUUGAGUUAAUAUUUUUCAUAUGGUGUAAGAAAGAAGACCAAUUUCAAUCUUUUGCAUAUGGCUACCCAGUAAUCCCAACACCAUUUAUUGAACAGAAGAUCCUUU